AAGAACAAAUCGCUUUAUUAUCAAUACUCGUAUCCGUUUUAAUCAAUCCGUUUGGGGUAUUUGCUCAAUUUCUUGAUUAACACGUUGGUUAAAAAGAAAAUUGAAAAAAAUAUAUACAUGUUAUACCUGGGCUUGGAUAUAAGUUCCAAUUAAAGCCCUCGGCAUUACAAUUCGUUUAAUCUACAGGGUAACUAGUUCGUUAAAUAUUACUUUAAAUCAAUUUCGAAGCGUAUUUACUUUAUUCGUUUCAUUUUGCGUUAACUUUGCGUGAGAGUAGUCGGUAGAUUUGCUGUGUGGGUGGUGUUGCUUCCUGGCUCUACGGUAUAAAGGUAUGUCUGCAGCGGACUGUUAGUAAAGCUUUAUUUAUUGUGACAAGUGGAAUUUGAAACAUAAUACUAAAGGUAA
rnacentral:sRNA from 1 species